CCUACGGGUGGCAGCAGUGGGGAAUAUUGGACAAUGGGCGAAAGCCUGAUCCAGCCAUGCCGCGUGUGUGAAGAAGGCCUUCGGGUUGUAAAGCACUUUCAGUGGGGAAGAAAGCCUUGGGGCUAAUACCCUCGAGGAAGGACAUCACCCACAGAAGAAGCACCGGCUAACUCCGUGCCAGCAGCCGCGGUAAUACGGAGGGGUGCGAGCGUUAAUCGGAAUUACUGGGCGUAAAGCGCGCGUAGGCGGUCUGAUAAGCCGGUUGUGAAAGCCCCGGGCUCAACCUGGGAACGGCAUCCGGAACUGUCAGGCUAGAGUGCAGGAGAGGAAGGUAGAAUUCCCGGUGUAGAGGUGAAAUGCGUAGAGAUCGGGAGGAAUACCAGUGGCGAAGGCGGCCUUCUGGACUGACACUGACGCUGAGGUGCGAAAGCGUGGGUAGCAAACAGGAUUAGAUACCCGAGUAGU
rnacentral:rRNA from 1 species